UAAACCGAAGAGAUCUCUGGAGAUAAUCUUGUUUACAUAUGAAGAACCAACCCGAUUUGGGAUCAGUUGUUUAGGAAGCUGCUUGCUUGCUGGAAGCAAAGAACUUACAGAAGUACUAAAGACUACAAUUUUUGAUGGCCAAAAUGUGUCCUUUAUAGAAGCAGCUAGAUCAACUGGAUACGCAGAAGAUAAAGAUGACGACUUAUCGAGUGUGUUCUUGAAGAAAGGAAGUUACUGUUUUGUGUGCCUUUUCUAGUUCUGAUUUCAUUCAUUGUGAUUGGAAGAUUUUAAAGAACCAGUACACAACACACAUAAUAUCCUACCAAUUCA